rnacentral:rRNA from 1 species
UACGGAGGGUGCGAGCGUUGUCCGGAUUUAUUGGGUUUAAAGGGUGCGUAGGCGGCCUCAUAAGUCCGGGGUGAAAGCCCGUUGCUUAACAACGGAGCUGCCCUGGAUACUGCGAGGCUUGAGUACAGACGAGGUUGGCGGAAUGGACCGAGUAGCGGUGAAAUGCAUAGAUACGGUCCAGAACCCCGAUUGCAAAGGCAGCUGACUAGGCUGUUACUGACGCUGAGGCACGACAGCGUGGGGAGCGAACAGG